ACUACAAAAUACUCAUUCAUUAUUUAAACAAUGUGAGUUGUGAAUUUGUUUUUUGCAGUCG
rnacentral:pre_miRNA from 1 species